CUUAAAAACGAGCACCCACUAAAACACUCUCCUUUUUAUUUUCACCCAGAGCAGUGAUCCUGAUGUCCGUGCCGAGGCACAGGGAGGCUGCCACAGAGGUUCGGUGACACGCACGCUGACUGAUCGGGAUGCAAGACGUGCACCCCAUGCGGCUUCAGACUUCUUAGGCGUAUUCGAUAUCAUCCGUGGGCCUGUGGAGUUCCAGGACUCUGUGAGCCCCUGAGGGUGUUAGAAUCCCUUUCUCAGGGGCUCUGUUCGAAGGCCCUGACCAGUCUCUGGGAGGCAGGACGACAUGGGUUUUGUGACCCAACAGACCUGGGUAUAGUCCAGACUGCCAUCUACUUCCUGUGCAAUACCAGGCGAAGAUCUACGCCCAGUGCCCCUCGUCCAGCUGGUGAGAUGCAGAGCCAGCGUUCAACACAGGCGCCUCCCAUUCCAGAGUCCCUGCCAUUUAGCCGCUGUCCUGAUUCAGGGAGCCAAUGGACCUACGGUGCUUAGCACCGACCCUGGCUGCUCACAACGUGGUAGCGAUGAGGAGGACGAUGACGACGACGAUGACAACAACAUUUGCACAUCUGGAUACCAAAGGGCAGGAGACCAACCGAAAUUCCACUAAGUCUUUCCCCAAAGCUCUUAGGAUGAGGAAAAAAAGACAAAAAAACCCAAACCGUAGGUCCCCGGAAUGAGCACCAGUCAGACUUCACCCUCACGAGACGCUGACUUUGAGUGAGGCCUUUUGUCUGAGCCUCGGUGUGCUCAUUGGUAAAAUGGGCAGAAAUGUCAGGUUUACGUGAAAAGAGACCCUGGGUCCGAAUGCUCAGCCCCGUACCUGGUGUGGCAGGCUCCCGCCAGGUGACGGGCGGUGAGAAGGCCGCGUGUGGGGAGAGGGCGCAGGGUGGCCGUGGAGAGAGGCAGCGCGUGGCAGCUCUGCCACUCACGUGGCGUUUCCAAGGGCAACGUGGUCAGGGGGGCAUGCAAGGAUUGCUGGGAUCCCAGCAGUCACGGCUGUGUCGUUCUCGUGACGAGGUCUUGCCAUUUCCUUGACUCUGUAGUAACAAUUCCUCUGCAUUCCAGGGUUCCCUGCUGUUUCUAGGACCUGUUUUCACACAUUGGCCUCAUUAUCCUGCCAGUAAGCUCCCCAUGACAUGCCGAGAAGGCUUGAGAUUUUACUCCAGAUUACUUAUUGCUGCACCCCCAGUGCCUAGCAUAGUACCUAGCGCGUUAUAGAUGUUUAAUAAAUACUGUCGAGAAGCUGAACCUUAUCAGGAGUUGGGACUGGCUGGGACAGGAACAAGCUCUCAUUGGUUGCCAAGA